rnacentral:antisense_RNA from 1 species
AACGGCCAGACGUCGGCCCGGGCCUGCAGCGGUCGUUGGUCGUCGGCGUGAGCGUGUCAGGAAAAUAACACGGAAGGCAGCACAGGUGAAUGAGAAUCAAGCAGAUUCUCCUGGACACAUCCACAAGCUGAAGGCAGAGAAGGCCUGCAAGAAGCCCCUGGCUAACCAGAUAGGCCCCCAAGGUUAAGACCAAGGAAGUACAGGAGUUCCUCAAGGAGCCACUUCAGGCCAAGAAGGAGGUAACCAAGAAUCUGUCCAAGCAGGAAGAGAUGAAGACUUGAAGGCCCCCCUCUCUUAUGUCUGUCAUUGCAAUAGGCCUGGAGGCCUUGAGAAGGAUUGCACCAUUCCCCACUAGUGGAGAGCCAGGGUGGUCCAUUUGCCAUCACUGCAUCCCAGCUUCUCAGCAUUGGACCAGAAAAUCACAUGCUCCUAAUACUCACCGGAGCCAGUUGAAAAGUUUGGGAAAUGCUUUCUUUCCUCUCCAAACUUUCACAAUGCAAAGUCUUCCGGGAACUUGCCUCCUG